rnacentral:tRNA from 1 species
CAGUAAGUCAGCUCAGUUGGUUAGAACAUGGUGCUAAUAACACCAAGUUCACAGGUUCAAUCCCUGCUUACUGC